rnacentral:rRNA from 1 species
CAGUGNCGGUAGCUUACCAGAAAGGGACGGCUAANUACGUGCCAGCAGCCGCGGUAAUACGUAGGUCCCGAGCGUUGUCCGGAUUUAUUGGGCGUAAAGGGAGCGCAGGCGNUCAGGAAAGUCUGGAGUAAAAGGCUAUGGCUCAACCAUAGUGUGCUCUGGAAACUGUCUGACUUGAGUGCAGAAGGGGAGAGUGGAAUUCCAUGUGUAGCGGUGAAAUGCGUAGAUAUAUGGAGGAACACCAGUGGCGAAAGCGGCUCUCUGGUCUGUCACUGACGCUGAGGCUCGAAAGCGUGGGUAGCGAACAGGAUUAGAUACCCUGGUAGUCCAUGCCGUAAACGAUGAGUGCUAGGUGUUAGGCCCUUUCCGGGGCUUAGUGCCGGAGCUAACGCAAUAAGCACUCCGCCUGGGGAGUACGACCGCAAGGUUGAAACUCAAAGGAAUUGACGGGGGCCCGCACAAGCGGUGGAGCAUGUGGUUUAAUUCGAAGCAACGCGAAGAACCUUACCGGGUCUUGACAUCCCGAUGCUAUUCUUAGAGAUAGGAAGUUACUUCGGUACAUCGGAGACAGGUGGUGCAUGGUUGUCGUCAGCUCGUGUCGUGAGAUGUUGGGUUAAGUCCCGCAACGAGCGCAACCCUUAUUGUUAGUUGCCAUCAUUAAGUUGGGCACUCUAGCGAGACUGCCGGUAAUAAACCGGAGGAAGGUGGGGAUGACGUCAAAUCAUCAUGCCCCUUAUGACCUGGGCUACACACGUGCUACAAUGGUCGGUACAACGAGUUGCGAGCCGGUGACGGCAAGCUAAUCUCUGAAAGCCGAUCUCAGUUCGGAUUGGAGGCUGCAACUCGCCUCCAUGAAGUCGGAGUCGCUAGUAAUCGCGGAUCAGCACGCCGCGGUGAAUACGUUCCCGGGCCUUGUACACACCGCCCGUCACACCACGAGAGUUUGUAACACCCGAAGU